CAAGGCAGAGAUGGGUAGCUGGUCUGAGAGGAUGACCAGCCACACUGGAACUGAGACACGGUCCAGACUCCUACGGGAGGCAGCAGUAGGGAAUUUUGGGCAAUGGGCGAAAGCCUGACCCAGCAACGCCGCGUGUGGGAUGAAGGCCCUCGGGUCGUAAACCACUGUCAGGAGGAAAGAAAAGCCGGCCGGGUAAUAUUCGGUCGGCCUGACGGUACCUCCAAAGGAAGCACCGGCUAACUCCGUGCCAGCAGCCGCGGUAAUACGGAGGGUGCAAGCGUUGUUCGGAAUUACUGGGCGUAAAGCGCGUGUAGGUGGUUGAGUAAGUCGAAUGUGAAAGCCCCGGGCUCAACCCGGGAAGUGCAUCCGAAACUGCUCGACUAGAGUCCCGGAGAGGAAGGCAGAAUUCCCAAUGUAGGGGUGAAAUCCGUAGAUAUUGGGAGGAAUACCGGUGGCGAAGGCGGCCUUCUGGACGGUGACUGACACUCAGACGCGAAAGCGUGGGGAGCAAACGGGAUUAGAUACCCUGGUAGUCCACGCUGUAAACGUUGCGAACUAGGUGUCGGGGGUAUUCACCCCUCCGGUGCCGAAGCUAACGUCUUAAGUUCGCCGCCUGGGAAGUACGGCCGCAAGGUUAAAACUCAAAUGAAUUGACGG
rnacentral:rRNA from 1 species